UACAGAGGGUGCAAGCGUUAAUCGGAGUUACUGGGCGUAAAGGGCGCGUAGGCGGUUAUGUGAGUGUGAUGUGAAAGCCCUGGGCUUAACCUAGGAAGUGCAUCGCAAACGACAUGACUGGAGUAUAAGAGAGGGUGGCGGAAUUUCCGGUGUAGCGGUGAAAUGCGUAGAGAUCGGAAGGAACGUCAAUGGCGAAGGCAGCCACCUGGCUUAAUACUGACGCUGAGGCGCGAGAGCGUGGGGAGCGAACAGG
rnacentral:rRNA from 1 species